UUUGGCUGAGGUGUUAGCCCAGGCUGGGAGCAGGUUGGCAUCACCCGAGUGGGUGGAGCGUUCCUAACCCACGGGCUUGCUUUGCAGAGUAAGGAGCACACAGCUGGGAGGAGCUGGAGCACAGGCAUGGCGGCAGCACCCAGGCCCUCUUGGACUCAUGGCAGCACCCAAGGCACGGGGGGAAGGCACGCAGCACCUCGUUAUCAGCCUGCCAGGGCCGAACAGGACGGCUGCAGAGCCACAGGCUGCAAAGCGACCUAAUGUGGGAACGCGCAGCAAGUCCAUGACCAACAUGCUGCUGUGGUGCUGCAGCUCAGCACAUCUGGACAGCUGCCUCAUGCCUGGAGGUUUGCAAGAAUGGGAGAAAUUCUACUUACGUGGGUGCCAGUGGCGAGCAUUCCCCCAAACCCAGCAGGAGGGGCUGGAAGGGCAGACUGAAGGAUCACCAUAAAAUCAUGGAAUCAUAGAACCAUGGUCGCACCUAAGUCAGCCUGCUUCUCUGAUACGAGUGGUCUCUUCUAUACAAGAAGCUACUGGAGUCACCAGUGCACAGGAAGAAGCAGCAGCAGCCCUCCAAGAACUUGCUGCUGAGGUUUGCUUUUGUGUUUUGGACAAUGCUGCCAGCUGCACUCUUUGUCAUUGGAAAUAAAGGUAAAUAAUCCAAGAAGCAAGACGUUACACUCCCUCAGUCCCACCUGCACAUGUGCACCCAUAUAAAGAACUCAAGAAUGAGCAGAUGGAGGACAGGCGUAGCCAGACCCAUUCUCCAGAUCUUUGCUCAGGCAGCAGUGCUGCUAUGUGCCCCUGUGGGACCAUCUAGGUGCAGGGCAUCGUGCCCACCCUGCCCCUGCACUGGGAUGUAAAUGCUCCACCUGCUGCAGGCACAGCACGUGCAGUGGGGACAGAAGGCACCGCCAGGUCCUGCCCCGCUGCCAGGGGCACACAGCCCUGUGCCGUGCUGAGCUGCAAGGACCUGGACCCGCUUCCAGUGGUACUUCUGAGUCUCUAUUGAAUGCACAUUAUGGAAUUUAAUCAGUGAAAUGAAUUUGCUAAUGAACUUGUUAAUGAGCUUGCCAUAUCUAAUACUGUUCAUUUCUUCUGUUCUUUUUCUUUUUUAGUGGGAAGAAAGAAAGCUGCUGCUGCUGCUGUUUGGCAGCUUGGUUUUUUUUUUUUUUUCUUUGCUUUAGGCAAAUGACAGGAAUAAGUUCACUUAUAAUUGCUUUCAUGUAAAGAAAAGUUAAUAGAAAUUUUAAUAACAGUAGGAGCUUAACAGAGUUUGAGGCCGUGACACGUGCAUCGCAAUGGAGGUAACUCCUGCAGCAGGAUGCAGCUGCCCAUUGCUGCAUGCGGGAUGCUCUGCUAGUGGCAGGGAGGAGAGCUUUGGGAGGAUUCAGAAGGGUUCGUACUGCUUUGGCUUUGUGCAGCCCUGUGUGUCCACUGCAUACGCAGAGCACCGUGCAGCAGCAAUGUGACCAUUAGUCACAAUAUCAAAGUACGUAAAAAGGAACAGGCUCAGUAAUAACAUAUGAUAAGCUGUUAGUGGUUGUUGUAUGCGCCCUUCUGAGCUGCUUCCCUCUGGGAUCCACAGCCUCAGCGCUUCCCUCCCUUUCUCCAGGGCAGAGGCAGCGUUCCUGCCCCCAGGUACCUCAGGCAGCAUGGCUGUUUGCUUCUCCUACCAGGCAGCAAGCCAGCACCAAGGUCAGGCCAUUCCCAGUGUGGGUGCAAGACCCUGGUGUCAGCAUUGCUCACAGCAGCGUCUGCAGCGUUGCAUACUUCAGCCCAAUGCCUGCAGCCUCCUGUGCCUUCUGAGCCCCUCAUGGUGCCAAGGCUCACCGAGCAUGCACACUGGGCACUCCUGCUCCCAGCCCUCGCUCAGCUCUGCAGCUCUUGUUUGCUCCUGCUGGCUCCAAGUCAUCGCACAGCAAUAGAAAUGCCACGGGGUGGGUCAUCCCCAGGGCACAGAGAAGCGAUGCAAUGAGCUCCCCACCUGCAGGCAGUGUCGUGGGGACGUGGCAUCGUGGCUUGCCCUUGGCAGCCCACCCAUUGUCUCUCAAAGCACUGCAGAACGAGAAGCUGGCUGCGAAAGUCCUUGUGCAAUUAGUGCUGCUUCCCCUGCAAGGAGCAGAAAGAGGUGAGGCUGUCAGACAGCUCUGUGUGCUUCAAGCUUGCUACAGGGUGCUGCACAGCACUGCUUGCUUUCUCUCCUCCUCUGAGUAUUAUUUACCUCUCUUGUUGGCAGACACAGAAAUGCACUCCUCAAAAAGAGAGCUGCCACAGAUGUAUUCAGUGGAGUUUCAUAUUAACUUAAUGUUGCAAUGAGUAUACACAAAGGUUUUGUUAGUAUUUAAACAAUGAGAAAGGAGUUUGGGACACCGCGAGCAAACAGGAAAGGAGCCAGGCAUUGCUCACAAACCAGGAGAAAGCAUCCAGAAAGCUCCGUGGAUCAACCCUGCCCUGCUCUCCCUGUACAUCAGUGGGCAUUAGUGCUUGCUGGCAGCACGGGAAGGGCAGGAGCACAUCACUGAGGUAUGCACGUGGUGUGGUGCAUCUCUGCUACUCUCCCUUUGUGAAAGCAGCAGAGAUGCAACUGUCUGAAUAGGGAAUCCCACAGGUGUUCUCACAGGCAAGGAUUAGACUAUCUUAGAUCAGAUUAGAUUAGAUUACCCCAUUACAGAUGAAACGUUCUCCAUUUCAGGCUCCUCAGACACAAGUGCUCAUGGCACCAAGCCUCUUGGAGUUUAAGAAGCAUUUGGACAAGGCUGUCAGAAAUACGGUUUGAAUUUUGAGUAGUUCAGCGUGGAGAUAGGAGUUGGCCUUGAUGAUCUUGUGGAUCCCUCCCAACACAGGAUAUCCUCUGAUUCAUCGCACCCAGAAAGAGAUGAAAACUGAAGGAGAAGAGGAGAUGGACUGGAGCUCGUUUUGAAGAUGCAUAUUCAUGAUGCCACUAUAUAUAUAGCGAGAGAAAUUACGGUGCCAUUGUCUACUUCAAACAAGUCGUUCAUUCCCUGCUGUUUGAAAAAAGAUGAAGAAGUCGGAACACAUGAUGAUUGAUUUGUACUUUCAAGGCUCACCUCCUCUCCCUUUGGAGCAACAGCCAGAGGAUAGCAAUGGGGAUCUAUGCGAGGGACAGAGAAUUGCUGUCCUGGGCUGCGUGGCACUGCUGGGGCAGGACCGUCCUGAAACCCACAGCGGGGAGAGUUUCAAUGCACGUGGAGAAAUGCAGAUGUAACACUGAAAUCUGUUGAACCAGCUACAGCCUGAGGUGUCACGUUUAAGGAGAGAUUAAAUAAUCCAGCUGAGAAAAUUAGGCGGUAGAGAUGGGCGAAUCGUUUAACGUCAGUUCCGCAGCUGGUUACUUUUGCGUUCCUCUGUUCACGAAAUAUCUUGCAAGAAUGCACAGUUUUCCUCCUUUCUGUGUGCCACUUCUGGUUGUCCAUGCCAAGCAGCUCUCGUGGCGCGUGGUGGCUGUCAUUUUUCUCUCCAGUCAUUGGAAGGGCGUGAAAUUUAGGAUUCCUGCGGGAGCAGUUUUGCAUACGCUUUCAAAAUGUAGUCACCGUGAUUGUUAUUUAAUGUUUUCAUAUACCAAUGCUAGAUGAGAAUCGAAUUAAAAUUCAAAUAAAAUAAACAUUAUUAAAAGAUCUUUCCACCAGAAUUGAUGUAUGGAUAGAAACCUUUGCAGUACAACUGAAAUAACAGCAGGAGGGGAGUGGAUAAAUAAUUUAUUCUCCGCGCACGUAUCAAUAUUUUCUAAAUACAUAUUAUUGAGCUGAGCGUGGAAAAGCUUUGCUAGGUUCUUUCUUUUGUACAUAGUUUCUCUUGAAUCCAGAACCAAAGCUUUUCCACUCCGGUGAGUCGGGAGCAGCAGGCACUGCUUCAGCUCAGGCAGCCUCACUUGUGCCUUUCCUUCUCCCUUAGCCCUAGUAGAAGAGGAGGACAUGAGAUUUAUUGCACAGAGCAAAGCCUCUUUUGUACCUCUGGCCAAGGAGCCUGUUGUCGUCGUGCUGGAUUUAUAGUUAAGCUGAUGUUUAAUCCCUGAAGAAUUCAGCCUGUUUGCUGUGAAGUCUGAGCUAAUAGAGAGC